rnacentral:rRNA from 1 species
AGUGGAUGGGGAGCAACCUAGUUGUGCGUGUGUAAAGGUAGUGCCAAGAAAAGCGAUGAUCAUGUUGAAAAUCAAUUCCCGGUACCCGAAACCGACACAGGUGGGCAAGUAGAGAAUACUAAGGGGCGCGAGGUAACUCUCUCCAAGGAACUCGGCAAAAUGACCCCGUAACUUAGGGAGAAGGGGUGCCACCGAGAGGUGGUCGCAGUGAAGAGGCCCAGGCGACUGUUUAGCAAAAACAUAGGUCUCUGCAAACUCGAAAGAGGAGGUAUAGGGGCUGACGCCUGCCCAGUGCCGGAAGGUUAAAGAAGUUGGUCAGUUUUAGGAUGAAGCUAGCGACUGAAGCCCCGGUGAACGGCGGCCGUAACUAUAACGGUCCUAAGGUAGCGAAAUUCCUUGUCGGGUAAGUUCCGACCCGCACGAAAGGCGUAACGAUCUGGGCGCUGUCUCGGUGAGAGGCUCGGCGAAAUAGGAUUGUCUGUGAAGAUACGGACUACCUGCAUUUGGACAGAAAGACCCCAUGAAGCUUUACUAUAGCUUGGAAUUGUGUUCGGGCUUCCUGUGCGCAGGAUAGGUGGGAGGCGUAGAAGGUAUUCUUGUGGGGAUACUGGAGCCAACGGUGAGAUACCACUCUCAGGAGGCUAGAAUUCUAACUUAAUUAAGGACAGUUUCAGGUGGGUAGUUUGACUGGGGCGGUCGCCUCCAAAAAGGUAACGGAGGCGUACAAAGGUUCCCUCAGACUGGUUGGAAAUCAGUCGAAGAGUGCAAAGGCAGAAGGGAGCUUGACUGCGAGAAGUACAGUUCGAGCAGGGUGGAAACACGGUCUUAGUGAUCCGACGGUGCUGUGUGGAAGGGCCGUCGCUCAACGGAUAAAAGUUACUCUAGGAUAACAGGCUGAUCUCCCCCAAGAGUUCACAUCGACGGGGAGGUUUGGCACCUCGAUGUCGGCUCAUCGCAACCUGGGGCGGAAGUACGUCCCAAGGGUUGGGCUGUUCGCCCAUUAAAGCGGUACGUGAGCUGGGUUCAGAACGUCGUGAGACAGUUCGGUCCAUAUCCGAUGUAGGCGUGAGAAUAUCGAGAGAGCCUUCCUUAGUACGAGAGGACCGGGAAGGACGCACCGCUGGUGUACCUGUUAUGAUGCCAAUUGUAAACGCAGGGUAGCCAAGUGCGGAGAGGAUAACCGCUGAAAGCAUCUAAGUGGGAAGCCCACCUCAAGAUGAGUAUUCUGGUGUAAGGUCACGGGAAGACGACCCGUAAAUAGGCACGAGGUGGAAGUGCAGAGAUGUAUGAAGCCGAAGUGUACUAAUAGACCGUCGGCUUGAUC